rnacentral:rRNA from 1 species
AGCAGCCGCGGUAAUUCCAGCUCCAAUAGCGUAUAUUAAAGUUGUUGCAGUUAAAAAGCUCGUAGUUGAACUUCGGGAUUUACCCAGUGGUCAGGCUUAAUUGUCUGCACUGGUGAGAUAAAUCUCUACCUUCUGAGGAACUUUCAUGCCAUUUAUUUGGUGUGAUUGGAAAUCAGGACUAUUACUUUGAAAAAUUAGAGUGUUUAAAGCAGGCUAACGUCUGAAUAUAUUAGCAUGGAAUAAUGAAAUAGGACGGCUUGGUUCUAUUUCGUUGGUUUCUAGGAUCACCGUAAUGAUUAAUAGGGAUAGUUGGGGGCAUUAGUAUUCAAUUGUCAGAGGUGAAAUUCUUGGAUUUAUUGAAGACUAACUACUGCGAAAGCAUUUGCCAAGGAUGUUUUCAUUAAUCAAGAACGAAAGUUAGGGGAUCGAAGACGAUCAGAUACCGUCGUA